AUGGCCGUGUCCUCCGCUGCUCGCCGCCUCCUCCUCGUCGUCACCGUGACCGUCGUCUCCGUCGCGGCCGCGGCGCCAUCCUCGCCGGGGCCGUUCCGGACGCUGUACGCCUUCGGCGACUCGUUGACGGACACGGGCAACACGCACUCCACAACGGGGCCAUACUCCUUCGGCGUGUCCCACCCACCGUACGGCGCCACCUUCUUCCACCGCCCCACCAACCGCUACUCCGACGGCCGCCUCGUCGUCGACUUCCUCGCCACCGACUUCGUUGCCCUCCCCUCCUUCCUCCCGCCUUACCUCUCUACCCUCUCCCGCAACGCCAACGCCACCAAAGCCAGCUACUCUGGCGUCAACUUUGCGGUGGCCGGCGCGACGGCCAUCGAGCACGAGUUCUUCGUCAGGCAGAACCUCAGCGCCAACAUCACGCCGCAGUCCAUCAUGACGCAGCUCGGCUGGUUCGACGCGCACUUCAAGGCGCGGCGGGCCAGCGGCGGCGGCAAGGACGGGGGCGUCGGCGAUGCGUUGUUCUGGGUGGGCGAGAUCGGCGCCAACGACUACGGGUACAAUUUCAUGGCCCCCGACGCCCUCCCGUCAGAGCGCAUCCGGAGCAUGGCCAUCGAUAGGAUCACCACCUUCCUCGAGGGGCUGCUGAACAGAGGGGCCGGGUAUGUGGUGGUGCAGGGGAUGCCGCUGACGGGAUGCUUGCCGUUGACGAUGACGCUGUCGCGGUCGGGGGACCGGGACAACCUCAGCUGCGUGGCGUCCGUCAACCAGCAGAGCCUCGACCACAACCACCACCUCCAGGCGGCGCUCCACCGGCUCCGGCGUAGCCACCCGGACGCCAUCAUCGCCUACGCCGACUAUCACGCCGCGCACCUCGCCGUGGUGCGCAGCCCGGCCAGGUACGGCUUCGCGGAGCCCUUCAAGGCCUGCUGCGGCACAGGCGGCGGCGCCUACAACUUUGAGAUCUUCGCCACCUGCGGCUCGCCGGAGGUCGCCACCGCCUGCGCCCAGCCCGCCAGGUACGUCAACUGGGACGGGGUGCACAUGACCGAGGCCAUGUACAAGGUCGUCGCCGGCAUGUUCUUCCACGACGCCACCGGGGCGUACUGCCGGCCCACCUUUGGCUCCCUGCUGGCCGCCAGGAAAGGCCAGGGCAAGUGA
rnacentral:rRNA from 1 species